CUUAAAUGGGGGAUUUUCCAAACGAAAAUGCAUGAUUUUCUUUUUAGAUGGGGGAUUUUCAUAGAGAAAAGGCAUGAUUUUUGUGUUAAGUGGGGGAUAUUUGCAAAAAAAAAAAAACGAGGCGUGAUUUUUGGGUUACAUGGGAGAUUUUUGCAGAGAAAAUGUGUGAUUUUCGGUUACAUGAGGGAUUUCUUGCAGAGACAAUGCUUGAUUUUUGUUUAAAUGAGGGAUUUUGGCAGAGAACAUGCGUGAUUUUCGGGUUAAACGGGGGAUUUCUGCAAAAAAAAAUCAUGAUUCUCGGGUAAAAUUUGGUGUAGUUGAAGAGAAAAUGCAUGAUUUUGGGGUUAAAUGGGGGAUUUUGGAAGAGAAAAUGCGCGUUGUUUGAGAUAAACAGGGGAUUUUUGUAGAGCGAAUGCAUGAUUUUGGGGUUAAAUGGGGGAUUUUCCAAGGGAAAAUUUGUGAUUUUCGGGUUAAAUGGGGGACUUUCCAAGGGAAAAGGCAUGAUUUUCAGGUUAAAUGGGGGAUUUGGAAGAGCAAAUGUGUGAGUUUUGGUUAAAUGGGGGUUUUCCAGAGAAAAUGCAUGACUUUCUGUUCAAUGGAGGAUUUUUGUGGUGAAAAUGCGUGGUGUUUCAG
ensembl:lncRNA